UGCCUUGUGUGAUCAUAUAUGUAAUUUUGCUCUUCCUCCUGGUCUUGUUAUUUUAGAUAUGAAAAAAUAUGGACAGCAAAUAGCAGGUCACCUUCAAAAGGCAGAAAGCAUUUACUUAUCUGUCACAAAAAUCAGUAUGGAAUGUAAAGGAGCAUCCUUUCCUGAAGAUGGGUCAAAGGGAAAUACCCACAGGUUCUGCCUGGCAUACUGCAGAAGCAUUGCUGCAUUUUACCUGACAGGAACACAGUGCAGCAUUAUUUAG
rnacentral:lncRNA from 1 species